GGUUAAGCGACUAAGCGUACACGGUGGAUGCCCUGGCAGUCAGAGGCGAUGAAGGGCGUGCUAAUCUGCGAUAAGCGCCGGUAAGGUGAUAUGAACCGUUAUAACCGGCGAUACCCGAAUGGGGAAACCCAGUGUGAUUCGUCACACUAUCAUUAACUGAAUCCAUAGGUUAAUGAGGCGAACCGGGGGAACUGAAACAUCUAAGUACCCCGAGGAAAAGAAAUCAACCGAGAUUCCCCCAGUAGCGGCGAGCGAACGGGGAGGAGCCCAGAGCCUGAAUCAGCAUGUGUGUUAGUGGAAGCGUCUGGAAAGGCGCGCGAUACAGGGUGACAGCCCCGUACACAAAAGCGCAUGUGCUGUGAGCUCGAUGAGUAGGGCGGGACACGUGGUAUCCUGUCUGAAUAUGGGGGGACCAUCCUCCAAGGCUAAAUACUCCUGACUGACCGAUAGUGAACCAGUACCGUGAGGGAAAGGCGAAAAGAACCCCGGCGAGGGGAGUGAAAAAGAACCUGAAACCGUGUACGUACAAGCAGUGGGAGCACAGGUUUACCUGUGUGACUGCGUACCUUUUGUAUAAUGGGUCAGCGACUUAUAUUCUGUAGCAAGGUUAACCGAAUAGGGGAGCCGGAGGGAAACCGAGUCUUAAUUGGGCGUUAAGUUGCAGGGUAUAGACCCGAAACCCGGUGAUCUAGCCAUGGGCAGGUUGAAGGUUGGGUAACACUAACUGGAGGACCGAACCGACUAAUGUUGAAAAAUUAGCGGAUGACCUGUGGCUGGGGGUGAAAGGCCAAUCAAACCGGGAGAUAGCUGGUUCUCCCCGAAAGCUAUUUAGGUAGCGCCUCGUGAAUUCAUCUCCGGGGGUAGAGCACUGUUUCGGCUAGGGGGCCAUCCCGGCUUACCAACCCGAUGCAAACUGCGAAUACCGGAGAAUGUUAUCACGGGAGACACACGGCGGGUGCUAACGUCCGUCGUGAAGAGGGAAACAACCCAGACCGCCAGCUAAGGUCCCAAAGUCAUGGUUAAGUGGGAAACGAUGUGGGAAGGCCCAGACAGCCAGGAUGUUGGCUUAGAAGCAGCCAUCAUUUAAAGAAAGCGUAAUAGCUCACUGGUCGAGUCGGCCUGCGCGGAAGAUGUAACGGGGCUAAACCAUGCACCGAAGCUGCGGCAGCGAACGUAUCACUUAAAGCGAUUCAGCGGGUUACGAUUGACGGAGCGAAGCGACGUCAAAGCGUAUACAAAGUCGAGUCGGUUUAAGGAUACGUUCGUUGGGUAGGGGAGCGUUCUGUAAGCCUGCGAAGGUGGCCUGUGAGGGUUGCUGGAGGUAUCAGAAGUGCGAAUGCUGACAUAAGUAACGAUAAAGCGGGUGAAAAGCCCGCUCGCCGGAAGACCAAGGGUUCCUGUCCAACGUUAAUCGGGGCAGGGUGAGUCGACCCCUAAGGCGAGGCCGAAAGGCGUAGUCGAUGGGAAACGGGUUAAUAUUCCCGUACUUGGUGUUACUGCGAAGGGGGGACGGAGAAGGCUAUGUUGGCCGGGCGACGGUUGUCCCGGUUUAAGCGUGUAGGUGUGUGUUCCAGGUAAAUCCGGUUCACUUUAACACUGAGGCGUGACGACGAGGCACUACGGUGCUGAAGCAACAAAUGCCCUGCUUCCAGGAAAAGCCUCUAAGCAUCAGGUAACAUCAAAUCGUACCCCAAACCGACACAGGUGGUCAGGUAGAGAAUACCAAGGCGCUUGAGAGAACUCGGGUGAAGGAACUAGGCAAAAUGGUGCCGUAACUUCGGGAGAAGGCACGCUGACAUGUAGGUGAAGUGAUUUACUCAUGGAGCUGAAGUCAGUCGAAGAUACCAGCUGGCUGCAACUGUUUAUUAAAAACACAGCACUGUGCAAACACGAAAGUGGACGUAUACGGUGUGACGCCUGCCCGGUGCCGGAAGGUUAAUUGAUGGGGUCAGCGCAAGCGAAGCUCCUGAUCGAAGCCCCGGUAAACGGCGGCCGUAACUAUAACGGUCCUAAGGUAGCGAAAUUCCUUGUCGGGUAAGUUCCGACCUGCACGAAUGGCGUAAUGAUGGCCAGGCUGUCUCCACCCGAGACUCAGUGAAAUUGAACUCGCUGUGAAGAUGCAGUGUACCCGCGGCAAGACGGAAAGACCCCGUGAACCUUUACUAUAGCUUGACACUGAACAUUGAGCCUUGAUGUGUAGGAUAGGUGGGAGGCUUUGAAGCGUGGACGCCAGUCUGCGUGGAGCCAACCUUGAAAUACCACCCUUUAAUGUUUGAUGUUCUAACGUGGACCCGUGAUCCGGGUUGCGGACAGUGUCUGGUGGGUAGUUUGACUGGGGCGGUCUCCUCCUAAAGAGUAACGGAGGAGCACGAAGGUUGGCUAAUCCUGGUCGGACAUCAGGAGGUUAGUGCAAUGGCAUAAGCCAGCUUGACUGCGAGCGUGACGGCGCGAGCAGGUGCGAAAGCAGGUCAUAGUGAUCCGGUGGUUCUGAAUGGAAGGGCCAUCGCUCAACGGAUAAAAGGUACUCCGGGGAUAACAGGCUGAUACCGCCCAAGAGUUCAUAUCGACGGCGGUGUUUGGCACCUCGAUGUCGGCUCAUCACAUCCUGGGGCUGAAGUAGGUCCCAAGGGUAUGGCUGUUCGCCAUUUAAAGUGGUACGCGAGCUGGGUUUAGAACGUCGUGAGACAGUUCGGUCCCUAUCUGCCGUGGGCGCUGGAGAACUGAGGGGGGCUGCUCCUAGUACGAGAGGACCGGAGUGGACGCAUCACUGGUGUUCGGGUUGUCAUGCCAAUGGCACUGCCCGGUAGCUAAAUGCGGAAGAGAUAAGUGCUGAAAGCAUCUAAGCACGAAACUUGCCCCGAGAUGAGUUCUCCCUGAGACUUAAAGUCUCCUGAAGGAACGUUGAAGACGACGACGUUGAUAGGCCGGGUGUGUAAGCGCAGCGAUGCGUUGAGCUAACCGGUACUAAUGAACCGUGAGGCUUAACCUU
rnacentral:rRNA from 1 species